GAGAGAUUCACAAAUUUGGAUCAUUUAUAUAAAGGGAAACGCCUUGCUUUUCUCCCCCUCCCUUACAAAUCAGUCGAUCAGUUGAACAAGGGACACUGUGCUAUCCAGGCCUGUACAAAAGAGACAGCAACGUUGGAAUGAAGAACCUACCAAAUCUUCCUUGCUGUCCAUCUUCACGAGACUGGAGUUCAGAGAAAAGCAGGCCUUGUGGCUGUCUUGCCAAGUUUUAUUUUCUACAGAAGCAAAAUAACAGGUAUUCCUAUAGUUCAUCCAAUUGACUGGACAUGGACCACAGUGACAUUCUAGAGAAAGAAAACAGAUACUCACUCUCGAAAGCCAGAGGUGUCACUGUAGCCACCAGCCCAAGACACAGUAUCCCCAGUAUCUCAGCAACGAGUCUCCAUCCGGAGGACUGGGAAUCUAUCAGAGAGGAACAAGGAGAUGCUGAGUGGAAGAACUAGCAGAAUCAA